CCUUCAGCUGAGUAGCUGUGUCCUAUAGCCCCUGGGUGCUGGGGCUGAGUAGGCUCCUCUUGCCCUACACCUGUUCUGCUUCCUCAGGUAGGUCUCCAGCUUGAGGCCACUCAGCUGCUAGGCACCUUUCCAUUCCCCAGGAAAUGCUGGAAGUAGGUCUGUAGACAAAGAGACCUGCCCCUGUUGCUCAGCCUCCUCUGGUGGCAUUGUGAUGCUGGCCUGACUGCCAUUAUGAUGGCCGCUGGGUGGGGGUGGGGCUGCUUCGGGCAGGGCCCCUCACGCAGAACUCUCAUGGGCAUCAUGAACCAGCUCCCUCCCUAGGCCUGCUGUUACCUGGCCCAGUCUCCCAGCCAGCAUCUUCCCUCCAUUCUGGGCAGGGGAGGGUCUAGGCUGGGAAUUGGCCAAAGCUGUGCUGUCCAGUGUAGUGGCUUCUAGCCACAUGUGGUUCUUGACUUAAAAGCAAAUAUAAUGUAAGACUCAGUUCCUAGUCCUGCCAGCCACAUUUCUACAGUAGUCACAUGUGGGUGUGUAUUGGACUACGCAGACAAUGACCAGUUCCACCACAGGAAGUUCCACUGGCCAGUGCUAGAUCAAAUAGGAACUUGGUGAGACUGUCCCUGGGAGCCCUUUACCACUAUGAACCUGUCCAUGGGACAGGAGAGAAGGCUCUACUUGGAAAGAGCAGCAUAGUGUGUGGGGUUUUUCUUGGGGGUGAGGUAGAUGAGCUUGAACCUCAUUCCCCCUGCACCAGGCACUGCCUUGGGUGGCACCCCCUGACCUACACUCCCUUCCAUACCAAGAGCUGCCAAGAGUGACCCUGCCACUCUUGAUGACCCAAAGGAUGACACAGUUUCCCACUGGCGCAGAGAUAAGAAGAUGAAGGAGGAACAAAGCCUUGGGGUGGUGGGAUUCCAGUCCAAGCAUCCUCUGGAAAGAUGUGUAAAGAAUUCCUGCCUCUGGGUGUGGUGACACACCUGUAGCCCCUGGGGGGCUAAGGAAGGAGGAUCACUUGAGACCAGAAAUUUGAAGCCAAACCCAAGGAACAGACAAACAGGCAGAGACCUUGUCUUUAAAGAAAAAAGAAAAGAAAAAAAAAGAAAGAAUUCCUGCCCUACCAGCAAGUAGGUUGGGCUGCCAGGGCUGGUCCUUGUAGGACCCAGGAGCCAUCAGCCUGCACGGAGGGGCCAGCUGUAUCCAGCCUGUGGACCCAAGAACAAAUGACUUACACAUAUGUGAUUUUCAUGUGUUAUCCAGGAGGUCAUGGAGACCUGGAAGGCCAAGCAUAUUAAAAAUGCUUGCAUUUAAAA